AAUACAUAGAGACGUCAUGGUUAUCAAACGCAAUAAUAACAAUACAAUAAAAAGAAAACAUUUUCUCCCAAAUCAAUUAAUCUCUCCAUAACCUAGUUUCGUAUUCUCUUUCUUCUCUCAAGAACUCUAUCAAUCCGACGACGCUGAAUCAGAUUAAGUUUCCUUUUCUCGUUCGCCUGGAACCGAUCUGACUGGUUAGUGUUUCUCGUUCGCCUGGAAUCAAUAUGACUGGUUAGGGUUUCUCGUUCGCCUGUAAUCGAUCUGACUGGUUACGUCGAGUUUUAUAGCAGAAACAGAGAGUAAGGCUUCAAGAAGAAGAGGCUCUGAACAAGAUUCAAGUGAUGAAGGGUUUGGUGGAUGGUUAAGGAGAUUCGUUGGAUGACAAGCUGUCUGACAGCAGAUGACACAACAUUACCUCAAAAAGCAAUGAUGACAACCUGUGAGGAUAACAAGGUUUUAUAGCAGAAACAGAGAGUAAUGCUUCAAGAAGAAGAGGCUCUGAACAAGAUUCAAGUGAUGAAGCGUUUGGUGGGCGGUUAAGGAGAUUGGUUGGAUGACAAACAGUCUGAGUUAGAGCAGAUGACACAACAUUACCUUAAAAGCAAUGAUGACAACCUGUGAGGAUAAUAAGGAUUUCAACUUUUUGCAGUGAUCUUUCUUGGGCUUUACUGACUCCGCUUCACACCGUCUCACUAAGGUAAAUUCUCUCUAUGUCCUAGACUUUCCCGUUUUAUUUUGAAAACGCUUUUAUUCUGGUUUUGUUUUGAGAUUCUUUCGUUGAUGUCUAGUUGAGAUUUUUUAAAUCAGGAAACAAUACCAUUCGUCUUUUAAUAGGACUUUAAAGCUUUUGUUUUCUUAUGAUUUUAUCAAAACCAAGAUAUUAGGUAAACAUCUUCUAAUGUUCUACCAAAUCUUUUGUUUUUAUUUUGUUUUCCAAACUCCAAAAAAGAUUAUAGACAGACACUAAUCUAAUAGUGUUCUGUUAGAUUCUUAUUUGGGAACAUUGUUUUUGGUUUUGUUUUGUUUUUCAAACCCCAAAAAGAUCAUAGACAGACACUAAUCUAAUAGUGUUCUGUUAGAUUCUUAUUUGGGAACAUUUUCCCUUGCUGCCUCUAGAAGAAACUUAUGCCAUCCCCUAUAGUAAGAUUGUUAAUUGGACCGAGAAUAUGGGUUGGUAGUGCAUGUAUAAAGAAGGAUGUUAGGGGAUGGCAAAUAAGAGCAUGCGACUCAGUAGUCUUAAAGACAAAAAAAAUUUAGUACCCACGGCUUGAGAGGAAUCUGUUUUCAGUUAUUUGCAUGGUUGCGGUUUGAGAAAAGUCUAAAGACAAAGACUAUAACUGAAAACAGAUUCCUUACCCACGGCUUACAAAUGUCUUGUCAAAGACAAAGACAAUGCAAGGGGCUUGAGACUUGUUGGAUUGGAAAUAACGACCAACAGCCCACAAAAAUAAAUCAUUACUGGAUGGAUAAUAAGACCACACGGCUUACAAGUCUUAAAGACAAGACUUUUACUACCCGCGGCUUGACAAGAAUCUAUUUUCAGUUAUUUUCAUGGUUACGUUUUGAAAAAGUCUUAAGACAGAGACUAUAACUGAAAGCAGAUUCCUUACCCACGGCUUACAAAUGUCUUAAGACAAAACACUUUUACUACAAAACAAUGUCAAUGGGGCAGAGUAUAAAGAAGGAAUUUAGGAGAUGGCAAAUAAGAGCAUGCGACUCGGUAGUCUUAAAGACAAAAAACAUUUAGUACCCACGGCUUGAGAAGAAUCUGUUUUCAGUUAUUUGCAUGGUUGGGUUUGUGAAAGUCUUAAGACAGAGACUAUAACUGAAAACAGAUUCCUUACCCAUGGCUUACAAAUGUCUUAAGACAAAACACUUCUACUACAAGACAAUGUCAAUGGGGCAGUAUAAAGAAGGAUGUUACGGGAUGGCAAAUAAGAGCACGUGACUCAGUAGUCUUAAAGACAAAAAACAUUUAGUACCCACGGCUUGAAAGAAUCUGUUUUCAGUUAUUUGCAUGGUUGGGUUUGUGAAAGUCUUUAGACAGAGAUUAUAACUGAAAACAGAUUCCUUACCCACGGCUUACAAAUGUCUUAAGAAAAAACACUUCUACUACAAGACAAUGUCAAUAAGGCAGUAUAAAGAAGGAUGUUAGGGGAUGGCAAAUAAGAGCAUGCGACUCAGUAGUCUUGAAGACAAAAACCAUUUAGUACCCACGGCUUGAGAAUAAUCUGUUUUCAGUUAUUUGCAUGGUUGAGUUUGUGAAAGUCUUAAGACAGAGACUACAACUGAAAACGGCUUCCUUACCCACGGCUUCCUUACUCACGGCUUCCUUACCCACGGCUUACAAAUGUCUUGACAAAGACAGUGUGAGGGGCUUAAGACUUGUUGGAUUGGAAAUAACGACCAACAGCCCAGAAAAAAAAAUCAUUAGUGAAUUUUAUAAUAAUACCACACGGCUUACAAGUCUUAAAAGACAAGACUUUUACUACCCACGGCUUGACAAGAAUCUAUUUUCAGUUACUUUCAUGGUUACAUUUUGAGAGUCUAAGACAAAGACUAUAACUGAAAAUACAGAUUCCUUACCCACGGCUUACAAAUGUCUUGACAAAGACAAAGAAAAUGUAGGAGGUUUAAGACUUGUUGGAUUGGAAAUAACGACCAACAGCCCAGAAAAAAACACUAGUGGAUGGAAAAUAAGACCACAUGGCUUACAAGUCUUAAAGACGAAAGACUUUAUGAGAAAGUCCUAAGACAAGGACUAUGACUGAAACAGAUUCCUUACCCACGGCUUACGAAGAUUUACUACCCACGGCUUGAUGAGAAUUUGUUUUCAGUUAUUUGAAUGGUUACGGUUUGAGAAAGUCUUAAGACAGAGACUAAAACUGAAAACAGAUUCCUUACCCACUGCUUACAAAUGUCUUGACAAAGACAGAAAAUGUAGGAGGUUUAAGACUUGUUGGAAUGGAAAUAAAGACCAACAACCCACGGUUUACAAAGAUUUACUACCCACGGCUUGAUGAGAAUUUGUUUUCAGUUAUUUGAAUGGUUACGGUUUGAGAAAAUCUUAAGACAAAGACUAAAACUGAAAACAGAUUCUUUACCCACAGCUUACAAAUGUCUUGACAAAGACAAAAAAUGUAGGAGGUUUAAGACUUGUUGGAUGGAAAUAACGACCAACAACCCACGGCUUACAAAGAUUUACUACCCACGGCUUGAUGAAUUUGUUUUCAGUUAUUUGAAUGGUUACGGUUUGAGAAAGUCUUAAGACAAAGACUAUAACUGAAACACACAGAUUCCUUACCCACGGCUUACAAAUGUCUUGACAAAGACAUAAAUAUAAGAGGUUUAAGACUUGUUGGAUUGGAAAUAACGACCAACAACUCAGAAAAAAGUCUUUAGUGGAUGAAAAGUAAAAGACCACACGGCUUCCAAGUUUUAAGACGAAACACUUUUACUAUAAGACAAGUUAUAAGCCUUGCUGGAUGGAAAUUAACGACCAGCUGCUUAGAAAAUUAAAUACCCACGGCUUUGUCCAGAUCUGUUUUCAGCUAUAUGAAUGGAAUGGAGUUAUUAACGACCAAUGAGUUGAGAAAGUCUUAAGACAAAGACCAAUAGCUGAAAACAGAUUCCUUACUUUACCACCCACGGCUUACAAAUACGGUUUAGAGAAAGACAAUGAAAAUGGGGUGAUGGAAAAUAACACCACAUAGUUUACAAGUCUUAAGACAAAAGACUUUUAGUACCCACGGCAUUCAAAAUUCUGUUUUUGAUCUAUGGAUGGAUGGAGUAACGACCAUCGGUUUAAGAAAGUCUUAAGACAAAGGCUAAAAUUGAAAACAGUUUCCUUACUUCACUACUCAUGGCUUACAAAAAAGACUUGUUGGAUGGAAAUAUAUUACAGUAGCGAAUGCAGUUUUUAGACUUGUGUCCAUCCACAAAAGGAACAGGGUGGGCAUAUUACGUAAGUAAACACUAACUAUUUUUUAUUUCCUCAGGUAUGUGCUUCAGAAGGCGUUAAUAUUGUUUGAGAGAUUCUGAAGAGAUUUCAAGUGUAGCAGACUUCUGUGACAGGUUUGUACUUCAGAAGGGGUUUCAAGUGUAGCAGACUUCUGUGACAGGUAUUUUUCUUUUCGAACCUCUUUGUAACUAGUUUAGUCUCAUGUACUUUACAACUUACUUGCCUCUAGAAACUAUAUGGGUUUAUCCACUAAACCCCUUCAUUGAACAUUCUGAAAUUUGGCAAAUGACAUUCAUGUAGCUAUAUAACUAAUUUUGGCUGUCGUCGUAUGACCUUCCUACAUUUCGCAAUCUGCAUUCAUUUGGUUGUAUUGUGCACUUUGCAUCAUGUGUUUACACUUCUACAUUCUACCUUUUACAAUACAUUCUGUAUUUUGCAUCAUUUUCUUGCAAUCUUACAAUAUACUUCAGCAUUGAACGUCCUACAUUUUGCAUUAUACAUUAUUUCCUUACACUUGUGGGUUCUUCAUUUUUACUAAACAUUCUGCAAUAGGCAUUUUCAUUUGGUUGUUUUAUGCACUUUGCAUUUCAGCAUUGAACGUCCUACAUUUGCAUUAUGUACCAUUUUUUUACACUUCUAGCUUCUUUAUUUUACAAUACAUUCUGCAGUGUGCAUCUUCGUUGCAAUUUUAUAGUCAAAUUUGGAUCAUUCGGUACAUUCUACAUACACUUUGCAUCAUGUGUUUGCACUUCUGCAUUCUAUAUUUUAAAAUACAUUUUGCAUUCUGCGUUUUGCAUCAUGCAUAAUUUCUUUACACUUAUGGCUUCUUUACUUUACAAACAUUCUGCAUUAUGCAUCUUCAUUGCAAGUCUGAUUAACAUAUACCCAUGUUACAGCAUAUGGGUAGAGUUAUAUAGUUAAAUUUAUUUUACAAUACAUUCUGCAGUGUGCAUCUUCGUUGCAAUUUUAUAGUCAAACUUGGAUCAUUCGGUACAUUCUACAUACACUUUACAUCAUGUGUUUGCACUUCUGCAUUCUACAUUUUAAAAUACAUUUUGUAUUCUGCGUUUUGCAUCAUUUUCUUGCAUCAUUUCUUUGCACUUAUGGCUUCUUUACUUUACAAACAUUCUGCAUUAUGCAUCUUCGUUGCAAGUCUGAUUAACAUAUACCCAUAUUACAGCAUAUGGGCAGAGUUAUAUAGUUAAAUUUGGAUGUCGGAGCAUUUACGACAUUCAGCAAUGUGAUUCAUAUAAGUAACAUAUCUUUUAUCUUUUAUCUGAGCACUUACGACUGCAACAUGAUUCAUAUAAAAUUAACUUAUCUUUUCUAUUAAAACGAAAGUACCAUUUUUUAUAUACCAUAAAUGGUCACAAUAAGUCAAUUUCAUUAAUUACAUAAUAUAACAUAAUAAUCAAUAAAAAUAUUAAUAAUAGAUAAAUUCUAACUAUACAUUUGAAAGUUACUUUUAAUUAAAACAAAAUCCUA